rnacentral:lncRNA from 1 species
UUUCUCAAACAUUCUCACUGUGAUCUGCUCGGUGCGGGCAGAGGCUGGAACAGGAGGACUUUCUGAUUCACUCGGGUUGUGCCAGCCCUGCGGCAGACCGGGACGGUCAAGGGAAGGUUUAUUCCCUUUCUCUUUCCUCUCCUCGUGAGAGGCCCUGAUCUCGGCCAGGGGGAGCCCCGAGCACCCCGCAUGGGCCGGGCCCCGCCGCCCGCCCUCGGCUCCGGGGCAACCGCGCUGUUGUCCCGAGCCGGGGCCGCGGCGCUGGGAGAGGUGGGAGCGACGGGAAAAGGCGGUGUUGUCCCGGCCCUCCGGAGCUGAGCUUUGUGUCCUUAGGUGCAUCCACCACCGCCUGGUUUGGUGCGUGUUUAGGACUUAGCACUGGUUUAGGAUAUAGCUUUGGCUUUCUGCUCCGCUGUAGAAAUGCAGUGGUGAGUUUGUCCAUCGUGUUUCUGGGGGAACCCGACCGCCAGUCUUCGGAAUAGCCCUGCUCAGGCGACUAAGCCGCUAUAGAAGGUUGGUCUUUGAGUUGAACCUUAGCCCAGUCGCAAAAUACAAAUUUGUUGGGGGUUUUUUUUCUUCCUUUUUCUUUUUUUUUUUCUUUCUUUUUUUUCUCCCUUAUGGCAGGCUCUGUAUGUACAUGCUUUCCCUUGAGCUUUAUCCUCAUUUUAAGCCUUAUGUACAUUCAACUUAAUAGAUGCAUGUGUUAAACUCCUUUCUGGACAGGAUUGUAUGCUAGAAUUUUAGUUUUGUUAUGGUUUUAGAUGGAGCACUCAGAUGAAGCAACUUCCAAUAAACGGACUUUGAGAACUUUGUUUCGUCCAGCUACUUUACCUCUACCAGUCAUAUCCAAAACUUCACCAUCACAGAGGAAACUAUUGACAUACCACAGAGACAAGGCGCAGCAAGAGAUGAUUAAUCAGUUACUAAUUGAUCGAGCUCUCAAAGUCUAUUACAUAACCAUGGAUGAAACAGAUCAGAGAGAUGCUGCACCUUCUAUCACAGAACUGCCUUCCACUAGGAAGAAAGUGAGAAAGUAUUUCUUUAUUAAGUCUUGCAUAUUUAGUUCUUUGUUUAUUUGGACAUUUAUUUUCCUUCUUAGAAUUUAUUUCAAUAUAAUUGUUUUGCUCCUCAGUAAUUCAUAAAUGUAUUUAUAUAUUCAGG